rnacentral:rRNA from 1 species
GACGAACGCUGGCGGCGUGCUUAACACAUGCAAGUCGAACGGAAAGGCCCUGCUUGCAGGGUACUCGAGUGGCGAACGGGUGAGUAACACGUGGGUGAUCUGCCCUGCACUUCGGGAUAAGCCUGGGAAACUGGGUCUAAUACCGGAUAGGAGCCAUUUUUAGUGUGAUGGUUGGAAAGUUUUUUCGGUGUAGGAUGAGCUCGCGGCCUAUCAGCUUGUUGGUGGGGUAAUGGCCUACCAAGGCGGCGACGGGUAGCCGGCCUGAGAGGGUGGACGGCCACAUUGGGACUGAGAUACGGCCCAGACUCCUACGGGAGGCAGCAGUGGGGAAAAUUGCACAAUGGGCGCAAGCCUGAUGCAGCGACGCCGCGUGGGGGAUGACGGCCUUCGGGUUGUAAACUCCUUUCGCUAGGGACGAAGCUUUUUGUGACGGUACCUAGAUAAGAAGCACCGGCUAACUACGUG